rnacentral:rRNA from 1 species
AGAGUUUGAUCAUGGCUCAGAUUGAACGCUGGCGGCAUGCUUUACACAUGCAAGUCGAGCGGCAGCGCGGGGGCAACCCUGGCGGCGAGCGGCGAACGGGUGAGUAAUACAUCGGAACGUGUCCAGUAGUGGGGGAUAACCAGUCGAAAGAUUGGCUAAUACCGCAUACGAUCUACGGAUGAAAGCGGGGGACCGCAAGGCCUCGCGCUAUUGGAGCGGCCGAUGUCCGAUUAGCUAGUUGGCGGGGUAACGGCCCACCAAGGCGACGAUCGGUAGCUGGUCUGAGAGGAUGAUCAGCCACACUGGAACUGAGACACGGUCCAGACUCCUACGGGAGGCAGCAGUGGGGAAUUUUGGACAAUGGGCGCAAGCCUGAUCCAGCCAUGCCGCGUGAGUGAAGAAGGCCUUCGGGUUGUAAAGCUCUUUCGGCGGGGACGAAACGGUCCGUGACAACACCAUGGACUAAUGACGGUACUCGCAGAAGAAGCACCGGCUAACUACGUGCCAGCAGCCGCGGUAAUUCA